CCUCCGAGUAAAGUUCUUAUCAUAACCUUAUCUUCAAAUCUAGGACUCAAGCACUAGUAAAUUCAAUAGUCUUGUUAAAGAGUUUCACCACACCAAGAAGUUAAGAAGAAUACCAGCAACAAAAGUAGAGAAGAGAAGAUGCAUCAUCCUCACGGACCUCCUCAGCAUCAGGGUCCUCCUCCUCCCGGUUCCGAAGGACCUCCACCGGGAGGUCCGGGUCAUCAUGGACCUCCACCAGGUGGUCCGGGUCACCAAGGACCUCCACCGGGAGGUCCGGGUCACCAAGGACCUCCACCGGGUGGUCCAGGUCACCAAGGACCUGCACCAGGACAACAUGGACCUCCAUCGGGUGGGCCAGGUCACCAUGGUGGCCACGGCGGCCAUGGCGGGCACUGCUAAGCAGGUGCAUGGUUUGGUAGGGUUAUAUAAAUGUUAGUUUGCUGUAAUAAAAGGUAUUAGAGAGGAAUAAGGAUCAUCAAGUGCUUGAUCAGAUAAGAACUAUGCCCUUACAUUACUUGUAUCAUGUGUUUUUUGAGGUAUGCCGUGAAAAGUGGGAAGCCUGACUUGAUCUUUGUACUGAUGUUUUUCUAAGUUCUAUCUUCUAUGUAUGUUAAUCAAAUAAAUUAUAUAUGGGAGUAGUUCCAUAUCUACACUACACGAUGUCCUCUGCUUUUCACUGCACAUCAUUCUUUUCGUGGGGUUCGUUUUCCUUUUUUUCCUGUAACACAUAUCCCCAUGGUAUAAAAUUAUCAAAAUGCUUACUACAAAUUAAUUUGAGCUUCUUUAACCUGAUCAUAAGGCCUUCAUAAAAUGUUUUUCGUGAGUGAAACCAUCGGUUGCAGUGCUACUGCUCAUGCCUAGUGAAAUUAAAUGCAAAGGUGCUUGAAUUAUGCCUCUUUGGAGUUAAAAAGCAGAAAGUGUUUGACAAAUUAAGUAUGUGAUAUGAUCAUUUACUAAUAUAUAAGUGUUGAGACAAUUUUCAAAUGUAAGUUUAGCAAUCUGACAUUGAUUAAACGAUGUAAAGGUUCUCACUUCUGUUAACUACAAGAGAGGUAAGGAAUUUACAAAUUUGAUGGUUGAAACUAAAAAACUAAGAACCAAGCUAAACUAAAUUAAAGAAAAGUUUGAAAAGCUUAAAAGAAUUUAACUCUUCUUGUUCUUGUUGUUCUUUAAAAAUUAUUUUUUAUAUUAGGUUGAAGGCUUUUUCUAGUCUUCUCAUGUGUAAUUUGCAGUUGGACAUUAUUCUACUAUCCUGAAAAUGCUAAAUGUUGGUUGAUAACCACUCAUGAUUUCUUGAAACUUCAAACUUGCAAAAAAAAAAAAAAACACACACACACACACAUAAGAGAAAAGAAAA
rnacentral:lncRNA from 1 species